CCUACGGGAGGCAGCAGUCGAGAAUCAUUCACAAUGGGGGAAACCCUGAUGGUGCGACGCCGCGUGGGGGAAUGAAGGUCUUCGGAUUGUAAACCCCUGUCAUGUGGGAGCAAAUUAAAAAGAUAGUACCACAAGAGGAAGAGACGGCUAACUCUGUGCCAGCAGCCGCGGUAAUACAGAGGUCUCAAGCGUUGUUCGGAAUCACUGGGCGUAAAGCGUGCGUAGGCUGUUUCGUAAGUCGUGUGUGAAAGGCGCGGGCUCAACCCGCGGACGGCACAUGAUACUGCGAGACUAGAGUAAGGGAGGGGGAACCGGAAUUCUCGGUGGAGCAGUGAAAUGCGUAGAUAUCGAGAGGAACACUCGUGGCGAAGGCGGGUUCCUGGACAUUAACUGACGCUGAGGCACGAAGGCCAGGGGAGCGAAAGGGAUUAGAUACCCCUGUAGUC
rnacentral:rRNA from 1 species